GUUUGUGUUUCUUCUGAGCUCCUGCAGUUAAGGAACCAAAGGUCCUCGGGGUAUUAGAGCAGGAGAUCAGGAUAUCGGCUCACGCACACACAGUGGCAUCUCAGCGACCUCUUGCGUAACCAGGCAUACCUCCUGGUAAUGGAUAUUAAUGGUCCCGGGCAGUCCUCUAUGGCGCAGUGGCUGAGAGUUGUCUGUUUGACCUCGUCUUCAAGCUGGGAGACCUGGAACCCAGGGGUGGUUGGCCCUGUAGGGAUCUGUGUCACCAUCAGCAUGCAUUACACUCAAGCCUUGUUGGAGCAGUAAAUGUCUUCCGUUUGAGCUGCUGGCUGACCUUCUAGCACUCUGGCCUUUUCCACUGUUCUCACCUUCACCAGCAAGGCAACUGUGGAAUUGCAUGUGUCAAGCUCUGCCACCUCCGCCAUCUCGCAACGUGCCUCGAUGGAAACCUUUGGCUAACGUUGCAUGCGUUCCUUCUGGGCUUGCAAUUCCUACAACAGUGGCUGCUUUGUUUGGACUCUCGAUUUAACCAAUCAAUACCCAAUACAAAAAAAGUUUGCGUU